GGCCGCCUGGGGAUUGCCUCAGUAGCGGCGAGUGAAGCGGCAAGAGCUCAGAUUUGAAAUCGUGCUUUGCGGCACGAGUUGUAGAUUGCAGGUUGGAGUCUGUGUGGAAGGCGGUGUCCAAGUCCCUUGGAACAGGGCGCCCAGGAGGGUGAGAGCCCCGUGGGAUGCCGGCGGAAGCAGUGAGGCCCUUCUGACGAGUCGAGUUGUUUGGGAAU
rnacentral:rRNA from 1 species